UGUUUUUUUGUUUGUUGCUGAGUUUAUAUAUAUAUAUAUAUAUUUUUUUUUUUUUUUCAAAAAAUAAAUCAAAAUUAAACAACCCACGAGGUAAAAAAACAUUAUGACCACUCACAGCUGAGGUGAAUAACAUUGAUUAUCUCCUAACAAGGCCACGUGUCAAGUUGGUAGAUUAGAUGAUAAACAAACAAUCAGUUCUUGUAGUCCACAUUUUGAAUGCAGGAGAAAUGGGCAGGAGUAAAGGAAUUUGACAAGGGCCAAAUUGUUAUGGCCAGAUGAUUGGGUCAGAGCAUCUCUGAAAUGGCAAGGCUUGUGGGGUGCCCCUGGUCAGCAGUCCUGGUACCUACCGACAUUGGUCCGAGAAGGGACAAACCACAAACCGGCAACAAGCAAGGCUCAUCGAUGUGUGAGGGCAACGAAGGCUAUCCCAAAAGGUCUACUGUGGCACAGGUCAAAGAAAAGUUUAAUGAUGGUUACAGGAGGAAUGUGUCACAACACACAAUUCAUCCCACCCUGCUGCGUAUGGGGCUGCGUAGCCAUAGACCGGACAGAGUGCCCAUGAUGACCCGUCCACCGCCGAAAGUGCCUACACUGGGCAUGCGAGAGUCGAAACUGGACCUUGGAGCAAUGGAAGAAGGUCACCGGGUUCAAUAAGUUCAGUUUUCUUUUACAUUACGUGAACGACCUUAUACGUGUGUGCCGUUUACCUGGGGAAGUAAUGGCAUCAGGAUGCACUGUAGGAAGACGACAAGCCGGUGGAAGGAGUGUGAUGCUCUAGGCAAUGUUCUGCUGGGAAAACCUGGGUCUGGCCAUUAAUGUGGACAUCAAUUUGUCACGUGCCACCUACCUAAACAUCUCUGCAGACUAGGUACAUCCCUAACUGAAGCUCCUGACCAGGAUCUGCAUGAUUGUAUGCACUGCUGCCACGUGAUUGGCUUAGAUAGAUAAUCGCAUGGAUGAUUAUUGGUGCCAGACAGGCUGGUUUGAGUAUUUCUGUAAUGGCUGAUCUCUUGGGAUUUUCACACACAACAGUCUCUGGAAUUUACUCAGAAUGGUGCCAAAAACAAAAAAACACCCAGUGAGGGGCAGUUCUGCGGAUGUAAAUGCCUUGUUGAUGAGAGCGGUCAACAGAGAAUGGCCAGACUGGUUCAAACUGGCAAAGUCUACGUGCUGAAUAGAAUGUUGGGCUGUCCAGCUGUUUGAGAGAUUUGAAUUCAAAUGGGCCUUAAAUUUAGAAGUCUGCGCCACGAUAUCAAGUGAUCAGCUCUGCACUAUCCCAUCACUGGAGUGCUAAUAGCGAGGGAAGCCCGGUUUACCAGAGCCUGCUAGAUCCAGCUCCGGUCCAGCCCGAUGUCCCUCUUCUACUGCUAUGUGUUGCUGAGCGAUGACUACUAACUGCAGCCUGUGCCACUUAGACAGUGAGGGGCGCUUCAAUGAUCACUAUCUGCAUCACUUCAGUCUACUGCGAUGGACUUCACAGAGGAUGAACUGCUGCCAACUCAAGGGAUACUUCAAUGGCCACUGCCUACACCUCUGACUUAGGAUGGACUUAACUGAAAAUGAACUGCCACAAGCUUCCAGCCGGACUGUGAGGCACAACUAACUGACCUCUGCCUUCAUCAUCUUGGUCAUAGGAUGGAUUAUACGCUCUUAAACUGCAAAACAAAUUAAUUGAUGCCAAUUAAAGCCUUCAUCGGCCACAUCUGCACCCAAGAAUUUCACACACCAUUGCACUCGUGUAUAUGGCUGUGUGACAAUAAAGUGAUUUGAUUUGAUUUGAUUUAAAAAUGACACUGCAUCUACAUGCACUUCCACAGUCAAUUCGGGAUGGGCUUCAAAGACUUACAGUUCAAUCAAUAUCCUUUAGUUUUAAACAUGUCCCAACAACAUCCACUCAGUUUGUGUAAUAAAUAAUUUGUGUUACAAAUAUAUAAGUAAUAUUGGCAUUAAAUUCAUACUGUAUUUCCAGAGGGAGACUGGCUCCCCCAGCUUAGCAUGGUUUCUUGGUUUUUUUUUCUCCAUUAACUAACAUCUUAUGUUUUGAGUUCCUUGCCACAGUCGCCUUAGGCUUGCUCACUGGGGGCCUAAAGACAAAUCAUUUUUGAAGCACAAUUUUUAUUUAAAUCGCUCAAUAAGAACUUUUUGAUAUUACUGACAUUUUUUUCUGCUUUGAAACUAUGUGUGUUGUGAAAAGCGCAAUACAAAUACAAAUUACUUGACCUUCAGGGCAUGCACCCACUGACACCUACACAUUUUCGGAACGAUACGCCAAUGCAUUUGUAAAAUAUAGCAUUUUUCUACUAAAUUUAAAAAAGCCGAUGCCCAAUAUGGCCAUCCCCAAAGUGUUGCCAAUAUAUAGCUUCACAACUCAUUUGGCGUACUUGCUGUCAAAUUUGUCGACUCGUUUUACAAAAUGGGUUAGGUUUAUUAAAAAGCUUUUAACAAAGUGUCCCUAGAUGAAAUAUGACACACUUGGUGUGAAUCAGACGUGCGGCCUAGGUGGAAUUUGAAAAAGUAGAUUUUUCAGAAAACUCAAAAUCCAAAAAUCUUGUAUUCAGAAAUUGUAAUCAUGGUAUGCAUUUGACUCGGCCUGAAGGAAUCAGAGAGAAAAAUUAUUUUGUUUCUAGGCCAUUUGGUUCCAAAGUUAUGACAAAAAUAAUGAUCCUCAUGAUGGUGCCGCGGAUGGAUGCCUCGGUGUGGAGCUCCUAAGUUCUUUUGUUGUUUUUGUUUGUUUGUCCUGUGUUUAGUCAUCUUUUUCCAGUCAGUUUUAACAGAGAUGAACUGCUGAACAUUCGACAGCAUGUACCAGACAAUCUUUUCUAGGUUUUUGAAUAUUCAGACGAUUUGCUAGACAUUUUAGUUGGAGGCGCGGCUUUGUUGUUCAGGAGACGCAAGCGAGGGAGACGAGGCGGUGCGCUGGUCAAACUCCGUCGGUCCCUUUCGAAUAGCGCUGCGGAGCAUUCAUCUUGCGAAUCUCCGCUCUCUUCCUAACAAAACAGACGAACUACAUCUCCUCACCCGCACAAACAAGGACUUUUCAACCUCUGCUGCCUUGUGCUUCACAGAAACCUGAGUGAAGCCAUUCCGGACAGCGUGUUACAUCUGCCGGGCUUUCAGCUGUUCAGAGCGGAUCGCAUCACGGAGUUAACGGGGAAAACGAGAGGCGGUAGAACAUGCAUUUAUAUCAAUGAAAGUUGGUGCACAGAUGUAACAAUGUUAAAGAGAAUGUGCUGUCCUAAUUUGGAAGCGCUCUUUCAGCUAUGAAUUCAGACAUCAGAAGACUACAAAGGACAAUUCGGACUGCUGAGAGGAUUAUUGGUUGCCCCCUGCCCCCCAUUCAAGAACUAUACACUUCCAGAAUGAGGAAAAAUGCUGGAAAAAUCACUCUGGACCACACUCACCCUGCCCACUACCUUUUUGAACUGUUGCCUCCUGGCCGACGCUUCAGAGCUCUGAGCACCAGAACCGUCAGGCACAGAAACAGUUUUUUUUCCUCAGGCUAUCCAUCUCAUGAACAGUUAAAUUGUCCCAUUGAGCAAUAACUAUGUGCAAUACACAGUGUAGUCUUUUUUAUAUUUAUCCAACACAUCCAACCUCUUCUGCCAUUUCAUUCCUCUGGGAAAAAACAAAACAAAACAUUUGCACUGUACAUAACAGAUUUGUAAUUGCACUGUACAUAACCGAUUGUAUUAGAUUUGCACUACCCAUAUGUUUGUGUGUAUGUAUGUAUGUGUGUGUAUAAUUAGUUUUAUUUUUAUCUGUCUUGCUGCUGUUUUUAUGUUUUUGUAUUGUUGUACACUGGAAGCUCCUGUCACCAAGACAAAUUUCUUGUAUGUGUAAGCAUACUUGGCAAUAAAGCUGAUUCUGAUUCUGAUAAGUGCAAAUUUAAACUGUUGAUGGAGCUAAAGGGUUUGAGGUAGAGACUCAGAAUUUACUAUCAGGAAUGUUCAGACACUCCCCUAUCCAAAGUGUGCCAAAUUUUGGUCCCUAAUAAUAUUUGUGUAAACUAUAAAUAAUACAAUACCCUACAAGAGCCACCACUUUCAAACAACAUGAGGUAUUCUGACACUACUUGAUAUUGUGAUGCUUUUGCUGGUAUUGUACCAUAAAAAUGUGACUGGGAAACAAAAUGUUUGAGUUAAAAGGGAAACAGACAGAGAACACG